rnacentral:rRNA from 1 species
UAGGGAAUCUUCGGCAAUGGACGGAAGUCUGACCGAGCAACGCCGCGUGAGUGAAGAAGGUUUUCGGAUCGUAAAGCUCUGUUGUAAGAGAAGAACGAGUGUGAGAGUGGAAAGUUCACACUGUGACGGUAUCUUACCAGAAAGGGACGGCUAACUACGUGCCAGCAGCCGCGGUAAUACGUAGGUCCCGAGCGUUGUCCGGAUUUAUUGGGCGUAAAGCGAGCGCAGGCGGUUAGAUAAGUCUGAAGUUAAAGGCUGUGGCUUAACCAUAGUACGCUUUGGAAACUGUUUAACUUGAGUGCAAGAGGGGAGAGUGGAAUUCCAUGUGUAGCGGUGAAAUGCGUAGAUAUAUGGAGGAACACCGGUGGCGAAAGCGGCUCUCUGGUCUGUAACUGACGCUGAGGCUCGAAAGCGUGGGGAGCGAACAGGAUUAGAUACCCUGGUAGUCCACGCCGUAAACGAUGAGUGCUAGGUGUUAGGUCCUUUCCGGGACUUAGUGCCGCAGCUAACGCAUUAAGCACUCCGCCUGGGGAGUACGACCGCAAGGUUG